CGGAUCUGCUGCGCGGAUCCCGGGCAGGCGGGCGAGCCGCUUUAGGCGACAUUGGGCGGGAAGCCGCCCCGGGGCGCUGUCUCUCUGCACCUGGACGGCCUAUUUUCCCAGCCUCCCGCUUUGUAGAGGGGACUCAGGAUCACGCUGCGUGUCCAGGCCAUCUUCCCUCUCAGCCCAGCCUUGGCACAAGUCGGCCCCAGGAUCAUCAUGUGAUAGAGCCUGAAGCCUGUCUCCCCAAGUCCCUGGAAAAUAGACAUCUGUGACACUCCUCCCGAAUCCCAGGGCACAGGGAGCAUGGCUGAGCACGCCAGACUGCCUGGGCUCAAAUUCUGUCCUGCCAUGAACUGCCUGGGUGUCUUUGGACAAGUCAUUUGACAGCUCUGAGCCUCUGCCUUCUCAUCUGAGGACAACGGGAAUAAUGAGGGUACCCACCUCAUGGGGAUGUGAUGAGGCUUAAAGAAGAAAAUGCAUGCAAACUUUUAGCACAGUACCUGGCAGUGAGUAAAUGUGCAAUAAUAUUAUUACUAUUUUAUCAAGAGGCCUGGAUUCUGGUCCCAGUUCUGCCACUGUUUUCCCUCCCUGGGCCUGCUUGAGUUUCCGUCUAUAAAGUAGGUGUUAAUUGAUUAAAUGAGAUAAUGGAUGCCAAA